CUGACAUUCCACUUUGAGAUGGAGAUUAAUGCUGAUCUCCCUGUGAACAAAAGAUCCUAUGCUCCUGUGGGGUGAAAAGGAACAUGAUGGAGGCGAUGAUAUUCUUGCAAACACCCAUGGAAGCAUGAUGGAGAAUAAAAUAUAUGAUCAUUCAAGAUUUUGGCGUUGACCCAGAAUGAAAGUGAAACUGCACGGAUGGAGUAAGAUCAG